AUGUGGAUUAAUUCGAUGCAACGCGAAAAGCCUUACCUACCCUUGACAUGCUAGGAACUUGCCAGAGAUGGCUUGGUGCCCGAAAGGGAACCUAGACACAGGUGCUGCAUGGCUGUCGUCAGCUCGUGUCGUGAGAUGUUGGGUUAAGUCCCGCAACGAGCGCAACCCUUGUCAUUAAUUGCCAUCAUUCAGUUGGGCACUCUAAUGAGACUGCCGGUGACAAACCGGAGGAAGGUGGGGAUGACGUCAAGUCCUCAUGGCCCUUAUAGGUGGGGCUACACACGUCAUACAAUGGAUGGUACAAAGGGUCGCCAACCCGCGAGGGGGAGCCAAUCCCAUAAAGCCAUUCGUAGUCCGGAUCGCAGUCUGCAACUCGACUGCGUGAAGUCGGAAUCGCUAGUAAUCGUGGAUCAGAAUGUCACGGUGAAUACGUUUCCGGGUCUU
rnacentral:rRNA from 1 species